UGAGGAAUCUUCCGCAAUGGGCGAAAGCCUGACGGAGCAAUACCGCGUGAGGGAUGAAGGAUUUUGGUCUGUAAACCUCUUUUCUCAAGAAAGAAGUUCUGACGGUACUUGAGGAAUAAGCAUCGGCUAACUCCGUGCCAGCAGCCGCGGUAAUACGGGGGAUGCAAAGCGUUAUCCGGAAUCAUUGGGCGUAAAGCGCCUGUAGGUUGUUUAGUAAGUCUGUUGUUAAAGACUAAGGCUUAACCUUAGGAAAGCGAUGGAAACUACUAGACUUGAGUAUGGCAGGGGUAGAGGGAAUUUCUAGUGUAGCGGUGAAAUGCGUAGAUAUUAGAAAGAACACCAGCGGCGAA
rnacentral:rRNA from 1 species